UACAGAGGGGGCAAGCGUUGUUCGGAAUUACUGGGCGUAAAGGGCGCGUAGGCGGCCUGUUAACUCGGACGUGAAAUCCCUCGGCUCAACCGGGGAACUGCGUCCGAUACUGGCGGGCUUGAAUUCGGGAGAGGGAUGUGGAAUUCCAGGUGUAGCGGUGAAAUGCGCAGAUAUCGGGAAGAACACCUAUGGCGAAGGCAGCUCUCUGGGACGGUACUGACGCUGAGACGCGAAAGCGUGGGGAGCGAACAGG
rnacentral:rRNA from 1 species